rnacentral:rRNA from 1 species
GACAGAGGGUGCAAACGUUGCUCGGAAUUAUUGGGCGUAAAGCGCGUGUAGGCGGCUUUGCAAGUCGGGUGUGAAAGCCCUCAGCUUAACUGAGGAAGUGCGCCCGAAACUGCUUGGCUUGAGUACCGGAGAGGAUGGCGGAAUUCCCCAAGUAGAGGUGAAAUUCGUAGAUAUGGGGAGGAACACCGGUGGCGAAGGCGGCCAUCUGGACGGAUACUGACGCUGAGACGCGAAAGCGUGGGUAGCAAACAGG